rnacentral:rRNA from 1 species
GACGAACGCUGGCGGCGUGCUUAACACAUGCAAGUCGAACGGAAAGGCCCUGCUUUUGUGGGGUGCUCGAGUGGCGAACGGGUGAGUAACACGUGAGUAACAUGCCCUUGACUUUGGGAUAACUUCAGGAAACUGGGGCUAAUACCGGAUAGGAGCUCCUGCUGCAUGGUGGGGGUUGGAAAGUUUCGGCGGUUGGGGAUGGACUCGCGGCUUAUCAGCUUGUUGGUGGGGUAGUGGCUUACCAAGGCUUUGACGGGUAGCCGGCCUGAGAGGUUGACCGGCCACAUUGGGACUGAGAUACGGCCCAGUCUCCUACGUGAGGCAGCAGUGGGGAAUAUUGCACAAUGGGCGGAAGCCUGAUGCAGCAACGCCGCGUGCGGGAUGACGGCCUUCGGGGUGUAAACCGCUUUCGCCUGUGACGAAGCGUGAGUGACGGUAAUGGGUAAAGAAGCACCGGCUAACUACGUG